GAUGAACGCUGGCGGCGUGCCUAAUACAUGCAAGUCGAGCGAACGGACGAGAAGCUUGCUUCUCUGAUGUUAGCGGCGGACGGGUGAGUAACACGUGGAUAACCUACCUAUAAGACUGGGAUAACUUCGGGAAACCGGAGCUAAUACCGGAUAAUAUUUUGAACAGCAUGGUUCAAAAGUGAAAGACGGUCUUGCUGUCACUUAUAGAUGGAUCCGCGCUGCAUUAGCUAGUUGGUAAGGUAACGGCUUACCAAGGCAACGAUGCAUAGCCGACCUGAGAGGGUGAUCGGCCACACUGGAACUGAGACACGGUCCAGGCUCCUACGGGAGGCAGCAGUAGGGAAUCUUCCGCAAUGGGCGAAAGCCUGACGGAGCAACGCCGCGUGAGUGAUAAAGGUCUUCGGAUCGUAAAACUCUGUUAUUAGGGAAGAACAUAUGUGUAAGUAACUGUGCACAUCUUGACGGUACCUAAUCAGAAAGCCACGGCUAACUACGUG
rnacentral:rRNA from 1 species